UAUGGAGGAUGCAAGCGUUAUCCGGAAUGAUUGGGCGUAAAGCGUCCGCAGGUGGCUAUGUAAGUCUGCUGUUAAAGAGUGAGGCUCAACCUCAUAAGAGCAGUGGAAACUACAUGGCUAGAGUGCGUUCGGGGCAGAGGGAAUUCCUGGUGUAGCGGUGAAAUGCGUAGAGAUCAGGAAGAACACCGGUGGCGAAAGCGCUCUGCUAGGCCGCAACUGACACUGAGGGACGAAAGCUAGGGGAGCGAAUGGG
rnacentral:rRNA from 1 species